rnacentral:rRNA from 1 species
CGUAGGUAACCUGCCUGGUAGCGGGGGAUAACUAUUGGAAACGAUAGCUAAUACCGCAUAAGAGUAGAUGUUGCAUGACAUUUGCUUAAAAGGUGCAAUUGCAUCACUACCAGAUGGACCUGCGUUGUAUUAGCUAGUUGGUGGGGUAACGGCUCACCAAGGCGACGAUACAUAGCCGACCUGAGAGGGCGAUCGGCCACACUGGGACUGAGACACGGCCCAG